CGGGGCAACCGGCAUCGGGUACGGCUUUGGGAACAGCACUGAGGGCUCGCACGGAGGAGAUCCGUGACCAGGCUUUGGGGUUCUGAGAGCCCCACGGAAGUGACCGUGGCCUCACUUAACCUCACUUCGUGCUGCAGACGCUGCUCAUUUCAGCCACAGCACUGUACUUGACCUAUAUUAUCAACAGCAACAAAACAUCUCAGGGUGUGGCCGAAGAAGGAAGAAGGAACCCAAAGAAGGUUUUCAGGAACUCUCUGAACGGGAGCCACAGAAAGCGGCAGGAGGAGAACACGGAGUGGGGCUGUAUCUCCCUCCCACAGGCAGCUCUGUGGCCUCUCACCUCCACGGCCCAUUGAUGCAGCCACAAAAAGC